rnacentral:rRNA from 1 species
GAUGAACGCUGGCGGCGUGCCUAAUACAUGCAAGUCGAGCGGAAAGGCGAGGAGCUUGUGUCUUUGAUGUUAGCGGCGGGCGGGUGAGUAACACGUGGAUAACCUACCUGUCUGACUGGGAUAACUACGGGAAACCGUAGCUAAUACCGGAUAAUAUUUUGCACCGCAUGGUUCAAAAGUGAGAGACGGUCUUGCUGUCACUAAUAGAUGGAUCCGCGCUGCAUUGGCUAGUUGGUAAGGUAACGGCUUACCAAGGCAACGAUGCAUAGCCGACUUGAGAGGGUGAUCGGCCACACUGGAACGGAGACACGGUCCAGACUACUACGGUACGCAGCAGUAGGGAAUCGUCCGCAAUGGGCGAAAGCCUGACGGAGCAACGCCGCGUGAGUGAUGGAGGUCCUCCGAUCGUAAAACUCUGUUAUUAGGGAAGAACAUAUGUGUAAGGAACUGUGCCCAUCUUGACGGUACCUAAUCAGAAAGCCACGGCUAACUACGUG